UACGGGGGGGGCAAGCGUUGUUCGGAAUUACUGGGCGUAAAGGGCUCGUAGGCGGCCAACUAAGUCAGACGUGAAAUCCCUCGGCUUAACCGGGGAACUGCAUCUGAUACUGGAUGGCUUGAGAUUGGGAGAGGGAUGCGGAAUUCCAGGUGUAGCGGUGAAAUGCGUAGAUAUCAGGAGGAACACCAAUGGCGAAGGCAGCUCGCUGGAACGGUACUGACGCUGAGGCGCGAAAGCGUGGGGAGCAAACAGG
rnacentral:rRNA from 1 species